CCUCCCCCUACUGCUUGUGCUUCCUUUCGCUUUGAAGUUCUGUGGCUCCGCACUGGAGUUGGGGAGGCAAGUCCUCCAGCCUCGGGCUUUUAAUAUUCACAUCACGUCCUCUUUGCAGCUACUUUGGGAGGAUUGAAAGCUACAAAGGACGUUUGGGUGACCUCCCCACAACACAAGGUGGGGUGGGGGGUUUCAACCCACACUGCCCCAUCUUGAAUCGCCAUGGAUGACCAAGUAGUUGAAACACGACGGGGGACUUAGGUGCCAGUCCUUCUAGGCAGAAGGGCCCUCUUGGGUUUUCAAUGAAAGGAAGAGUGUGAGGCAUUAAGAAGCCUGAGGAAGAGAGGAGAGAGGGGCUAGGGGCUCCCGCCUGGGAACAGGGAACUGCAAGAGGGCCUGUUCAGUGCUUUGGCCUAACUCGAAGUGGUGCCGCUAAGAGCAGCAGUUCAAAUCACAGUCAAACUCUAAACUUCACUCGAUGGCUUGGCAUCUGUCCCAUAUGAGAGCAGCUCAAAGGUGACUGGUGUCCUGGUUUCCACCGGUCAUGGUUUGAUGAGCAUUUCUUCGAAGAUGUGAACUGCCUACCCCAACGGCCCAGCUCUUGGCCCAACAGUCUACACCACGCUCAAGAUUGUCAAGAGGUCAUUGUGCUUGUUGGAUGGCUAGUUAACUCUUUACUCACCACUUCUUCCCUGACCCUCUUCUUGUAAAUUUCUAAAACUAGCAAUACAAGAUUCAAAUCUAAAUCAUCAUACAGAACUGCAUGUUGGGCAGAAUAAUGGCCUCCAAAGUAUCCAUGUCCUAAUCUCCAGAACCUGUAAACAUGUUACCUUUCUUGGCAAAAGGGAAUUAAAUUUGCAGAUAAAAUUAAGGUUGCUAAUCGCCUGACCUUAAAGUAGAGAAACCAGCCUGGAUUAUCUAGGUGGGCCCAAUGUAAUUACAAGUCUCCUUUAAAGGGGAAGAGGGAAGCAGUAAAGAUGGUCAGAGGAUGAGAUGUAAGAGGGACUCGACCUGCCCUUGCUGAAGGAAGGGGGCCAUGAGCCACAGUAGUGUCCUCUAGAAGCUCUAAAAGUCAAGAAGAGAAUUCUCCCCUAAAGCCUUCUGAAAGGAACUCUGCCCUGCUGAUGCGUCAGUCUUAGCCCGGUGAGAUGCAUGGUAGACUACUAAUGGAACUGUAAGGUAAUACAUGUGUAUCAAUUUAUGAUAACUGCUUAUAAUAAUUUGUUAUAGCCACAGUAGAAAACAAAUAUACACCUAGAUAGGUUGAACACUCCUUGGCCUCAACACUCUGCUUAAUGUAAGAAGUACUCCUUCCCUUAGCACAAUGUAACCUAGUGGAAUGCAUUCUUCCUCAGGGCUGCUAGAGGCUGGAGCACACACAUGGCUUUCUACAAAAUUUAGGAAAGUGAGCAACGAUGGAACCCUAAUUGGAGAAAAUAUGUAAUCACUCAUCAAGUCCUCUUGGUACUAUCUGAGUAGAGAGAAAGCACAUGGGCUUUGGCAUCUAGCAGACAUUGGUUCAAAUCCUGGCUCUGACAUUUAAUGCCUGUGUGAUCUUGAGUGAGUUAGCCUCCCAGAUGUUCAAUUUCUUAAGGGACACAUCACACCUACCUCAUGGGGUUGUUGUUGUAAAGAGUAAAAGAGUAAAUAAAAUAAGGUGUAUAAAGUACCUAUCUCAGAGCCUGGGGGGCAAGAUAGAAAUCCAAUAAAUCAUGUUAUCUUC
rnacentral:lncRNA from 1 species